rnacentral:rRNA from 1 species
CGGAUGACGUCAAGUCAUCAUGGCCCUUACGGCCUGGGCUACACACGUGCUACAAUGGUCGGUACAAAGGGUUGCCAAGCCGCGAGGUGGAGCUAAUCCCAUAAAACCGAUCGUAGUCCGGAUCGCAGUCUGCAACUCGACUGCGUGAAGUCGGAAUCGCUAGUAAUCGUGAAUCAGAAUGUCACGGUGAAUACGUUCCCGGGCCUU